CUGCUGCUGCACUUCAGGAGAUGAGGGCUAUUGAUCCUUCUAAACCAUCAACUACACCCCUUCUGCAAUUCCAGCAACAUCUUAAUCUCCCAAACAGAUCUGCUGCAUUGAUGCAGCCCCAGAUGUUGCAGCAGUCUCAGUCUCAACAGGCCUUUCUUCAAGGUGUUCAAGAAAACCACCAUCAGCCUCAGGCUCAGGUUCAAACGCAGUCACACCUCAUUCAGCAACAGUUGCAUCACCAGCACUCGCUUAAUAGUCAGCAACAGCAGCAACAACAGCAUUCCCUGCCACAACAACAGCAUCUGGUUGAGAAUCAACAGAUUCCAAAUGUUGUAUCUGCAAUGUCUCAAUUUGCUUCAGCCUCUCAAUCCCAGUCACCACCA
rnacentral:misc_RNA from 1 species